CCUAGCCUUUCUCUUGUUUAUUUUUUGCAAUAUAUGUACAUGAGAACAAAAGGAACCGGCACACACUAUAUUUUUUCUUCGCUUCCAGACUAGCAUGGACACAAGCACAAUAAAUUGACCAUUACAGAAACACAUCUCACAAGUUUCUUCAAGUAUGGCAUUUUAUUUGACCCUAUUAUGAGUAUUCCAAUAAGAACGUAUUUGAAUCACUGUCUCCAAGUUUCAAGGAAGUAACUAAGUAUAACAAGUGCCUACUACGUCGAACAAAGCAAUAACUACCUGGGUGUAUGACUGGGUGAAGGAGGCAGAGACCGCGAUGAGGCACAAGUCUUUGGCGCCGACAGCGAAUGUGCUGAGCCAGCGCGCCGUAGACCUGCCACCAGGGCACUCAUCGCACCACCGCCUG